CAGCGUUCUUCUACAUGCUCUGGAUCUUGGGGGAUGGUAGAACCAUCCUCUGGCAACCUGGCCACCUUGGCCUACCCCUGGUCCUCCCUCAUCUCCUCACAGAUUCGGCUCUCUCUGGUAGUCAAGGUUCCCUGAUUCCUCCUAUCUCUGGGGCAUCUCCACACUGCAUCCCCCACACUUAAAAAAAAAAAAAAAACACUCCCAUCAUCUAUUGUAACCAGAAGCAAAAAGAAGAAGAAAACCAUUAAACAACAGGAGAGUGAGUUGUUUGGUCACUACAAAUCUUCACUCCGUCUCGGGACACAACUCCAUUGCAUUCCAUUUACAAAAUGAAUUACGUGAGACCAAGUUGAUAUCUGCAGCAUGAAGAGUAAUCAUUUGUUGGCUUGAGAAGGCACUGCAUCUGGCAGAAGCUAUGUUCCUGUGAAAUGAUUGACCAAGGCUAAAAAAUAGAAGAUGGAAAAUGGAAGAUGUGUGAAAUCAAUCAGUCAGGGACAUGAGAUCUUGUAGGAAUUGUAAUUAGUUCAUGAAUAGCUGCCAUGAAGCCCUCUUCAUAAUUUGGAGGAAGUCACCCUGGAACUCCAGGAACAGUAGAGAGGGGACAGCUCCAGGCCAUGAGAACUGGGAAGCCCAUAAUGAGGGCCAGCAGGGUUCCAAGCAAGAUUUGGCACGGCUGGGUCUGCCCCUGCCUCCCAGACUGGCAGGAAGAAGCACGUUCUCCUCUCUUUCUCCCCAAGAACUCGCCUUUGUGGGGAGUCAGGUAAACACCGGCAGUGUGUGA
rnacentral:lncRNA from 12 species